rnacentral:rRNA from 1 species
UACGGAGGGUGCAAGCGUUAUCCGGAUUCACUGGGCUUAAAGGGUGCGUAGGCGGGCAGGUAAGUCAGGGGUGAAAUCCUGGGGCUUAACCUCAGAACUGCCGUUGAUACUAUCGGUCUUGAAUGUCGUGGAGGUGAGCGGAAUAUGUCAUGUAGCGGUGAAAUGCUUAGAUAUGACAUAGAACACCAAUUGCGAAGGCAGCUUGCUGGACGGAUAUUGACUCUGAGGCACGAAAGCGUGGGGAGCAAACAGG